rnacentral:lncRNA from 1 species
UUCUGAAAUUAAAUACGCCCCUUAAUUCUGUGUGAGGUCAAACUUUCCCUCACAGACUUCAUCUGCUUAACGCGAGCGGCUGCACGCGGUGAUGCUGAGGAGACCUGAUCCCCUUUUCUCGGCCCUGUUUUAAGAACAUCACGGAACCUCCUCAUUUUGUGGAGGGGGGGGGAAGAAAAAAAUAGAAUAAAAAAUAAAAGGGGGUUAAAAAAUGAGCAAACGGAGGAUGUUUUCCUCACAGAAAGGGGAGGGGGAGGCAGGCGGCCGCGCGGCACAGCGCCGCCCGCGGUACUGCAGGGCCCCGCCCGCUGCUGCUUCACAAAAUGGCGCCCGGCGGGGCCGCGCCGAGCGGUGCUGAGGCGACAAAAUGGGGGCGGGCGGGCAGCGAGGGAAGGGCCUCAGGGCCCCUCGUUCCUCUCCCGUCUCGUUUUGAGGUGUUUUUCCCCUCGCAGCGUGAAGAUUUUGGGGGGUUGCAGUCUUUGCUGUCCUCACCGCGUGGAAAAUGCCCAAAAAAACAAAACAAAACAACACCCAAAAAGCCCCGAACAGCCGGGGGGACUGAAGGAAGGAACUGCCUCCUCACAGCCACCAUUCUGGGAAAUGCAGGAUUGUUUGUGUAACUCCCACUCUGCAGCAGAUAGCUUCUCUGUGAGUAUUGUAAACAUGCAGCAAGCUGGGCAGUGGGAUCUGGCCUUGCUGAGGAGGGUAAGGCACAGUGCUCUGGUUGUGUGAGUGCUGUACACCGCCACAGAAAGCCACAGUGUUUCUGUGGUUACUUCUGGAGGGCAUGAGCAGGUCCCAGGGCUUCCCCUUCCCACCCUGUAUGUUUCACAAAAGAAAAGGCUGCUGCUUCUGGAAGAAGCUCUGCCUUGUGGCCUUAUUUAAAAAAAAAAAAAAAAAAAGGCUGUGGAUUAGUCAUCAUUAUAGUUAAAGGAGGCUGCGUGUGCUGGUGUGUGUGUGAUGUUAAGCAGUAGUUUAUUUGGGAGGGCUGGUAAUGUGCUCGGGUCGCUGCUCCUGGAGCAGUGCCACCAGGCUCCAUCAAGCUGCUGCUGGCAGGUGGAAAAGCUGACGGGCUGGCUGUUGGUCCCCUUCCAUCCCUUUUCCCUUUUCAGUAUCUCUGCACUGGCAGGUGUGGAAAGGAGGAGACCGAAACAACAGCGAGGAGGACAGGCGAGGUUCCAAUGCCAGAGAAUAAACGCUGUGCUUUUUUAUCCUUGCUCGUGGUA